UUAAGUUCAGCGGGUAUUCCUACCUGAUCCGAGGUCAACCUUGGGUAAAUAAGGCUUUUAACGGCCGGAACCCGCAGCACGUCCAGAGCGAGAUGUAUUACUACGCUCGGAGUGACAGCGAGCCCGCCACUGCAUUCAGGGCCUGCGGCAGCCGCAGGUCCCCAACACAAGCCCGGGGCUUGAUGGUUGAAAUGACGCUC
rnacentral:misc_RNA from 1 species